rnacentral:misc_RNA from 1 species
AUGUUUUUUUUUUUUUUUGAUUUGGUGAGAGG